UCUUGACCAUUUAUUUCAACUUAUAAUCCAACGGCUAUUCUAUUCCACUACCAACUACACUCCCAUCACUCACUUUUGCUCUUAUUCCAUACGCUACCACCACCAACUCCAGUCGACCAUUCCCAUCAUUCACUUUCAUUCCUAUUACACACAUCACCUACACGCACUGUUCAAUUGAGAUUGUCAUACGCCACCACCAAGUACACUCCCAUCACUGACUUUUCCUCUCAUUCAUGGAACUUUUCCCUCAUUCCAUACGCUACCAGCCUACCACAAACUCCACUCCCACCAUUCGUCAGAGGGGAAAGGAGGAAGAAGCAGAGGCAAGCUUGCAUCAACAAAAGGAUAAAUAAGAGGCAAGCUUGCAUCAACAACCAUGAAUCCUUUUCCACAGCAAACCCCAGAGGUCAAAACAAAGCUCCUCCACCGUCCUCACUUUUGGUUACUCCGCCGCCGUAGCUCCGUCCACCGCUUAGCGUCCCACCGCUCGCCGUGCAAUCUCUGGCCAGCCACCAAUCGCUUCGCCCCUUAGCUCCGACAUGCCUCUAUGGGUGGAUACAAGGGUUUCUAUGCUCACAAUACAAUCUCUCUAACUUGUAAGGGCGUGAAUGACAUACACAAGCGAGGAGGAACUAUCUUGGUUCAUCGCGAGAAGGAAAUGACACCACUAAGAUAGUUGACAGUAUUCAGGAUCGAGGAAUCAAUCAGGUUUAUAUAAUUGAAGGAGAUGGAACUCAGGGGUGCAUGUAAGAUUUUUGAGGUAUAAUAUUCCUAACAAUGAGAAUACUAGACCUUUUUGGGUUUACAAAUACAAAUAUGCUCCACACCUCCUUUCUCUCAUAAUUAUUUUCCACUUCCUCUUUAACACUUAGUUUAGUUCAUUGUUGAUACCUGUGAUGUGCAAAUUGAUUUCAUCAGAGUAGCAAUUUAUUAACAAUACAAGUUAAAUUUAUUGCCCUAGCACUAUUCAUGCGAGAAGCAGGUUGUUUGUGUUCCAAUUAUUUUUUUUCCCAACUUGUCCUAGCUGGUAAAUCCUAUUAAUUUUUUGAACCUAGCUCUGGGUUGGCCAUGUCAUGUUAUAGGGUCAUCUAUUAUUUUUUUGUUUACCGCUUGCCCUUUCCCAUUAGUCCACAUUUAACAGUGAGGAAGGGAAUAUCAAGAGCAUGAGAAGAGAAAAUGAUGGAGGGGGAAGGACCAAGUGUACUAUUUGAUUUCUCAUGUUAUAACCUCUUUUUAAUUGAGAUUUCUUUUUACAGCACUACUGUGUUGGUUUGCCUUAAGAUAUAUAUAUAUAUAUAUGAUACAUGCAACAAGUUCUGAUUUUGUUUUCGACAUAAUCUAUAUCUUUAUAUUGGUUUGCCUUAAGAUAUGAUUUCUCUACAUCUUUUUAUUCGUUUUCUGAUUUAUAUUUUCCAUUGAUGUUUUGAUUUCAUCUUAUCAGUUUUUCGAUUUCUGAUUUAUAUUUUCUAUAGAUGUUUUUGAUCAUCUUAUCACUAAUACUGUCAUUGUUUGGUGUUUCUUCCCAUCCCUCAACUGCGUUAGUUCCUAAAUUCUUGAAUUCCCUCAACUGCGUUUGAUUCUUUGUUUGAUUGAAUGGAUUUUGGUUCUUCUUUCAAUGGAUUUUGGUUCUUUCUCGGAGAUUCAGUAUGUGAAUGUAGUUUGCUUGAUUCCCCCCUUUGGUUGCUACGUUUGAUGUAGUUGGCAGUUUUAGUGAGCACAAUGCGGUCUGUCUUCCUAUAUCCGGGGGAAGACACUUUCCUUCUUGCUGCUCCAUGUUUUUCUGCUGCUGGUACUUUGUUAGAGGUAAACAAUUGGUUUCAACUGCCUUUUGAUUUGCAGAGUCUGCUGAUUUAUGUUUUUUUAAUUAAUUAAUGGUACAAACUCUGCCAAUUUGUUUAUCAUAAAAGCUGGCCCUUAGUGUGGUUGUUGUGGAACACUGUCAAGUCUUUUCAUGAUCUUAAAACAGCUUCAAACAUUCAUGGAUUUUAAUUAGUUACUUAUUGAUUUGUUUAAUGGUCAUACCAUUAUGUGUUAAUCAUGUGUUCUUUAUGAGCUUCUUUUAUGAUAACGUCUGAUGUUAAAUGUGCCAAUUUGAUGACACUGCUUUAAGUGGGUGGAGUUAUAUUAGGUGCAGGUUACAAGUUGUGUGGACACCAGCACAAUUCCAGAAUGAUUUUUCUUCAAGUGGUCUAAAAUAUUCAAGAUUUAGCAGGACAAAAAGAAUAUCAAAUCUCUAUACCCUUAAAUGGUUCUUUCAUUUUCUUAUUGGAAGCUAACUUUUGGCUUUAUAUGGUGCUUAUUUGGAUUAUGGUCAUGUUGGGUUAAUGAUCAUGGCAUCACCACAUAUACCAAGUGCUUCAUGAUUUCCUUUAGUUUUUUUUGCAGCUACUUGCUUAAUCAUUAUGAAGGUUUUUCCCCCUUUUUUUUCUGUCUUUUACCUUGACUCUUUUGGCUCUGAUAUGUAUGGUUGUGCCAUUAUGUGCUAACUUUGACUAACACCUUGGAAGUAUUAUAUGUUGAUAAAGGUUUCAAACUUUCACUUCUUCUAUGUCCUUUUUGAUAUUUUAACUAGAGCCAUAACCGCAUCCUUUUUCUUUCCCAAAUGAUUUUAUUGUUGCUGGCAUUGCUAGAAGUAGAACUUUUCCCAAAUAUUUUCUUUUGGAUAUUGAAUCUGAAAACAACCUUGGAGUUUUACCCUUUAGGUGGAGAUCCCAAAGUUAUUGCUGGUUGUAAGAAUUUCUAAAAACUUACAGCCUCAGAGUGAAAUUAAUACUGCUGGAAACUAAAUUUAUAUAUUAUUAAUGUAAAUUUUUACACAAGUUCUUCAUACUUAGGAAUAUUCAUACUAUUUCAUAUUGAGUCUAAUAACAAGUGUCUGAUGAUUGGAUGUAAUGGGUUGUGCUUUUAUUAGGUGAUUAUGAUGUUUCUGUCAACCCCAACAAUCCCCCCCCCCCCCCUCCAAAAAAAAGAAAAUGUAUCAUUCACUAGCUUACAUUGCUCUCUCUUAUUUUCAUAUCAUAAUCCUCAUUUGCUCUCAUUUCUCUUUCUUUUACAUUCUUACUUACAUUUUUAAUAAGAAUAUAAACAUCUAUUUUUUUUGUUUCCUAUAUGUUGGAUGACCAGUUUUUCUUUCUUAAUGCUAUAACAAUGGCAAUAUAAAUCUUUUAGGUCAAAAAUUAUUUUACUUGAGGUCCUUUGUUUUUUUGUUACAGAGGUUUGGCUUCUUCAUAGGCUUGAUUGAGAAAAUCCUAGCUGAGAAUGUGUCUUCUUUGCCUUCUUGACUUAAGGUUUAGUGAAAAAGAAGUAGCAGCUGAAGACACAACACAAUGAGCCUCACUGCUGCUUAAGAACUUUAAAGUACAUCCUUUGAUUCUCCUCACAUGAUUACUCACUUGAACAACCAAGUGCACUGUUGGUUUGGAUGCUUGAUAUCUGAUGAUGAAGUUGAAGAUGCAUUGUGAGCAGUUGGUUUGGAUGCUUGAUAUCACUGCUGAUCUCAUCAAUGAGAAUGAAUCUCUGAUUUGUUGUGUUUUUCUUUACUAUUGCGUUGUUAGUAUUAAUUUAUUUGCAUUACGUACGUUGUGAAGUUCAAAUACGCAGAUUCUCCCAUAUCAUGUCCAGCAAGAAUAUUUCGUACACUUGCCUCCCGAAAUAAGUGUUCUCCUUCCAAAUGGAUCAUGGACCAAUUCGGAAAUUUUUUGGGACUCAAUUGGUGAGAGAAGAGGUGAAAGGUUUGUCAAUUCUGGCUUAAAGGGUGAGAUAUGUUGCAGGUGGUUUGACUUCUAUAGGACUUAAUUUAGGAGGCUUGGUGAUACUAUUGCAGUUCACAAAAUGCAGUUAUAGAAAAUGCCUUUUGCCAAAUAGAUUCAGGGUUCAUGUAUUCACCUUAUAAUCUAUCUUGAAGAAGUUGUAACUUUGAUCAGUCUCUUUUGAUUAUCUCAUUUGGACUUUUCUUGAA